rnacentral:rRNA from 1 species
UUUCCGUAGGUGAACCUGCGGAAGGAUCAUUACCGAGUGCGGGCCCUCGUGGCCCAACCUCCCACCCUUGUCUCUAUACACCUGUUGCUUUGGCGGGCCCACCGGGGCCACCUGGUCGCCGGGGGACAUCUGUCCCCGGGCCCGCGCCCGCCGAAGCGCUCUGUGAACCCUGAUGAAGAUGGGCUGUCUGAGUACUAUGAAAAUUGUCAAAACUUUCAACAAUGGAUCUCUUGGUUCCGGCAUCGAUGAAGAACGCAGCGAAAUGCGAUAAGUAAUGUGAAUUGCAGAAUUCCGUGAAUCAUCGAAUCUUUGAACGCACAUUGCGCCCCCUGGCAUUCCGGGGGGCAUGCCUGUCCGAGCGUCAUUUCUGCCCUCAAGCACGGCUUGUGUGUUGGGUGCGGUCCCCCCGGGGACCUGCCCGAAAGGCAGCGGCGACGUCCGUCUGGUCCUCGAGCGUAUGGGGCUUUGUCACUCGCUCGGGAAGGACUGGCGGGGGUUGGUCACCACCAAAAUUUUACCACGGUUGACCUCGGAUCAGGUAGGAGUUACCCGCUGAACUUAA